rnacentral:lncRNA from 1 species
ACUGUAGGGUUUCAUGUCACUGUGCAAUUGGAGAAAACCAACAUUAGGAAUGGUUUCCAGGAUGCCUCUUAUAAUUACAUUGGGAACCUAACACUGUAUCCUGAGUGAAGAAAUUAUAAUAACAAGAUGUCAUUAGAGAAGGCUAUGUCUAGCUUUCUUGGGUAUCAAAGACUGGCUCUGUGCCUUAACAAACAGUCAGGGAUCCGACGGGGGCAAGGGGGUGGGUAGGCCUCUCCAUACAGUUCCCUGUCCCCAGAUUCUGGUGGGCUCUCCUUCCCUCAUCGUCAUGCUGAGGAUCAAUUUGCCCUGUUCCCAGCCCCAGGUCACGGCAAGCACAUGGCGGCUUCCCCACUCUACCACACUUAUGUGAAUUGCCUCUUGAGAAUAUUCUUCACAUCAUCUGAAUGUGUCAUUCUGCUUUCUGCCAGCUUCUUAAAUACUACAGUCCACUAC